GGGGGAAAGCGGGGGAUCGUAAGACCUCGCGCCGAUGGAUGAGCCGAAGCCGGAUUAGCUAGUUGGUAGGGUAACGGCCUACCAAGGCGACGAUCCGUAGCUGGUCUGAGAGGACGACCAGCCACACUGGGACUGAGACACGGCCCAGACUCCUACGGGAGGCAGCAGUGGGGAAUAUUGGACAAUGGGGGAAACCCUGAUCCAGCGACGCCGCGUGUGUGAAGAAGGCCUGCGGGUUGUAAAGCACUUUUAGUGGGGAUGAAAAGCUCAGGGCUAACACCUCUGGGUCUUGACCUAACCCACAGAAAAAGCACCGGCUAACUCUGUGCCAGCAGCCGCGGUAAUACAGAGGGUGCAAGCGUUAAUCGGAAUUACUGGGCGUAAAGCGUACGUAGACGGUUGGAUAAGUCAGAUGUGAAAGCCCCGGGCUCAACCUGGGAAUUGCAUUUGAGACUGUUCAGCUAGGGUGCGGAAGAGGGAAGCGGAAUUUCCGGUGUAGCGGUGAAAUGCGUAGAUAUCGGAAGGAACACCA
rnacentral:rRNA from 1 species